rnacentral:rRNA from 1 species
AACGAACGCUGGCGGCAGGCUUAACACAUGCAAGUCGAGCGCGUAGCAAUACGAGCGGCAGACGGGUGAGUAACGCGUGGGAAUCUACCCAUCUCUACGGAACAACUCCGGGAAACUGGAGCUAAUACCGUAUACGUCCUUUUGGAGAAAGAUUUAUCGGAGAUGGAUGAGCCCGCGUUGGAUUAGCUAGUUGGUGGGGUAAUGGCCUACCAAGGCGACGAUCCAUAGCUGGUCUGAGAGGAUGAUCAGCCACACUGGGACUGAGACACGGCCCAGACUCCUACGGGAGGCAGCAGUGGGGAAUAUUGGACAAUGGGCGCAAGCCUGAUCCAGCCAUGCCGCGUGAGUGAUGAAGGCCCUAGGGUUGUAAAGCUCUUUCAACGGUGAAGAUAAUGACGGUAACCGUAGAAGAAGCCCCGCUAACUUCC